CAGUCGCCACGGUAAUACGUAGGUGGCAAGCGUUGUCCGGAAUUAUUGGGCGUAAAGGGCUCGCAGGCGGUUUCUUAAGUCUGAUGUGAAAGCCCCCGGCUCAACCGGGGAGGGUCAUUGGAAACUGGAAACUUGAGUGCAGAAGAGGAGAGUGGAAUUCCACGUGUAGCGGUGAAAUGCGUAGAGAUGUGGAGGAACACCAGUGGCGAAGGCGACUCUCUGGUCUGUAACUGACGCUGAGGAGCGAAAGCGUGGAGAGCGAGCAGGAUUAGAUACCCCCGUAGUCCCUGUCUCUUAUACA
rnacentral:rRNA from 1 species